rnacentral:misc_RNA from 1 species
GGAAGGAUCAUUUCUACACCCCCACUUAGUUGAUUAUGCCUAUUUUCGAGAUAGUGUGUACGCCAGCAGCGAGACACUUAAACAUCUAGUCUGUCGACGGCUUCGCACUUCGGGUGCUGAUCUCCACACGUAACACAGACCUGUAGGUUCGGCCUCCGAAUCAGCCUUGUUAGGGAGGGUUACCAACCUGUGUCUGUAUAUUAAAUCAAAAUAUUAGCAAUGGAUAUCUUGGGUCAUUACACGAUGAGAACGCCGCAAAACGCGAUAUUUAUGUGAAUUGCAGAAUUCAGUGAAUCAUCAAACCUUUGAACGCAUGUAUCACGAUGCAGGUCUCCUGUAUCGUAUAUUAAUUCAGUGUAAUUUCAAACUUAUUGCUAGUUAAUACACUAGUUAAUUACUCUUAAACAAAAUUUCUUUAAGUUUUACCUGAAUUAAAUAAGAUUACCCACUGAACUUAAGCAUAUUAUUAAGUGGAGGAAAAGAAACUAACUAGGAUUCCCUUAGUAAAGGCGAUUGAACAGGGAAUAGCUCAAACUGAAAAUCUACAGUCUCGGCUGUAUGAGUUGUGAUUAAUAGAGAUAUUCUCAGCGUGCAGCGUCGCUCAAUAUGUACUGGAAAGUACUGUCACAGAGGGUGAUAUUCCCGUGUGUAAGUGACAUUUGCCGCAAUCGAGAUAUCUUCAAUGAGUCGGGUUGCUUGGGAGUGCAGCCUCAAUUGGGUGGUGAAUUCCAUCUAAAGCUAAAUAUGUAAUGACACCAAUAGCAUAAAAGUACCGUGAGGGAAAGAUGAAAAGAACUUUGGAAAGAGAGUCAAAUAGUACUUGAAAUUGCUAAUGUUAACCAAUUACACGAAUGUGUAGGCAUUACCUAUGUGAGAGCAUGUUGAAUGAGCUUGGAAGUAUUGCUUUCGAUAUGAAUAUGCUUAUUAUAUUGUUCAAACGUGGGUAUGGUAUGAUGUCUACGAAAUUCAGGUAAUUGACCCGUCUUGAAACACGGACCAAGGAGUCUAACGUAUCGGCAAGCAUAUGACAUUAAUGUCUACUGCGUAAUGAAAGUGUACAUGUGUAUACGACGUUAUCUGUAUAACGCGGCUUCUCAUUGUAGAAGGUACGACGACGAGUCGAUACGCUAGGACCCGAAAGAUGGUGAACUAUUCCUGGGCAGAAUGAAGCCAGGGGAAACUCUGGUGGAAGUUCGAAGCGUUACUGACGUGCAAAUCGUUCGUAUGACCUGGGUAUAGGGGCGAAAGACUAAUCGAACCAUCUAGUAGCUGGUUCCCUC